ensembl:lncRNA
UGGAGGCAAAGGGGUGGGUUCCAUCCACGCCCCCGUGCGGUGGGUUGAAAGGAUCUGGUGUUGCUGCCGCUGCUAUAGGUCCACCCCUGGCCCAGGAAGUUCCCUAUGCCGUGGGUGUGGCCCUUAAAAAAAACAGGCUUACUUUUUGAGAUUUACCAACUUCAUUCACAUCCUCUUCAUGAGCAAAACAGCAAUGAGUUUGUGCUGCUGUGGCUACAUUUCCCUACAGCUAAGCAAAUACACAGCCAAAUAAAAUUUGAGUGCUUCCCAAGUCCGCUUCUGUCCUUUAGUGGAGCUCACACUGUGCUUUGGAAACGUCCUCAGGGCCAAGUCCCCGGGUUCCAGCACGGGCUGCCCUGCUCAGCCCUGAAAACCGACUGCGGUUUGCCUCUGCCCAGAGGGCUUCACCUCCGUCAUCUCCAGCACCCAACUCCCUCUGUUGUGGGUUGAAUUGCGCCCCUCAAUUCGUGUGUUGAAAUCCUAACCCCCGUACCUCAGGAUAUGACCUAUUUGGAAACGGGGUCAUUGCCGAUGGAACGCGUUGUCAGGAGGGAGGAGGCUGGCCCCUGAUCCGGUGGGACUUGUGUCCUUCUGAAAGGAGAGUCAUCUCUGUCUCUCCGUCUCUCCACGACUACCGUGUCCCUCUCACCGGGACAGUGCCUUGUCCAUAUUAAACCCUAAGUACAAAUUUGCUGAGUGACAGCAGGAGACGCAAGCUGGGAGUCAGGUCAGCUGGCUGCUCCUUUCCAGAAAGGGAGACGUGUUGAGGGCCAGGGGUCUUGCCUGUAAACAACAUUACGAUUCUGGAAUCUUAAUAGUUGUCCUGUCUUAUUUACAUCUUGUUAGAAAAGUGAUCAGUACGAAUGCCCUUAAAAUGAGAGAGAAACAGCAAGUGUGUGCUCAGAGGCGUGCUGUGAAAGCAGAAUCGUGGGGCCGGAGGGGCUGCAGGAGGGAAGAGAAGCGGCAGGCUGGCCGGCCGGCGCCCAGAGCUGGGGCAGCAGACUUGGGCUGCUCCGGAGCUGGGUCCUGCUGGAUGCUGAGAAUGGCCACACACGCCUUCUGGCCGCUUGACCUCAGAUCUCCGGAGAACAGAGACUCACUCUCUGCUAGACCCUCUGCACUCACUCAGCCGUUUUGUACGCUGUCCCUUCAACCAGGAACCCGUUUGUGUGGUCAGAGUGUUAAACCAUCAUCCUUUCAAGAUGUGCAGACUGCUGUACUGAGAAGCGCUGUAAGGUUCAGAGCUGGACCAGGUGUAGGUCAAGGUCGAGCAUCUAUUCAACCUACAGCAGGUCUUGAAAGGGCCUUUGUAAUAUCUCGUCUCACCUGGGGGCAGCGCUGCCGUGUGAACUGAGUACAUCAGCACAUCCUCACUGGGGAACCGAAUGGCCAUGAAUUUAGAACAUUUGGUGAGAAGACCUGGGCCCUGGAUCGGAAGGUCUGCUGGGGUAUCGGGUCCCCCACAGGCCAUGUGAUGGUGUGACAAUGAGAAAGUCACUUGAUAACCCCAGUGGAGGUCACACCUCCCUCCCCAGCUCUCUGGCAUCACAAAGUACCCUGAGAUGUUGGAGAAACACACUGGGCAGAGCUGUGCCCCCUCAAAACCCCCAGGUCGAAGCCCUGAUCCCAAGACCUCAGAAUGUGGCUGUAUUUGAGGACAGGCUCUCCGAGGGAGAUUCACGCACGGCGAGGCCGGCAGGGUGGGCCCGAAGGCAUCCUGACUGGUGUCCUCUAAGAAGAUAUUUGGACACACCCCAAAAUGCCAGGGAUGCCCCCGAGGAGGGACCGCAUGAGGACACGGGGAGAAGUUGGCUGUCUGUGCCCAGGAGAGAGGACCCAGGAGGAGCCUAUGUGGGAGUUCCUGUUGUGGCUCAGCAGUUAUGAACCCACCUAGUACCUGUGAGGACAAGGGUUCAAUCCCUGGCCUCGCUCAGUGGGUUAAGGAUCUGGCGUUGCCAUGAGCUUCAGUGUAGUUUGCAGACGUGGCUCGGAUCUGGCGUGGCUGUGGCUGUGGUGUAGGCCGGCAGCUGCAGCUCCGACUUGCCCCCUAACCUGGGAACUUCUAUUUGCCGCAAGUAUGGCCCUAAGAAGCAAAAAGGAAAAAAAAGAAGGAAGCUAUGUGGCCCUUGACCUUGGGCUUCCGGUCUCCAGGUUGGGAGAAAUGAAUUUCUGCUGUUUCAGGCACCUCAUCAGGGGUUUACUGUAGUCUGAGCAAACUUAACACAAGUCAAGAAAGAAACAAAACCAGAAAUAACGACACUGACGCAUCCCUUUAUUGAGGGGGCUGCUGUCCUCGAAGAAGGAGGGGCUGGAGACGAGAGCUCUGCUCCUGCUCGGUCUCCGGCUCGCCUGGU